rnacentral:rRNA from 1 species
UUCCGGUUGAUCCCGCCGGACCUGACUGCUAUCGGAUUGAUACUAAGCCAUGCGAGUCUUUGUAGCAAUACAAGGCAGACGGCUCAGUAACACGUAGUCAAUCUACCCUAUGGACGGGGAUAACCUCGGGAAACUGAGAAUAAUACCCGAUAGAUCAUUAUACCUGGAAUGGUUCAUGGUUCAAAUGAUUUUUCGCCAUAGGAUGGGACUGCGGUCUAUCAGCUUGUUGGUGAGGUAAUGGCCCACCAAGGCUAUAACAGAUACGGGCUCUGAGAGGAGAAGCCCGGAGAUGGGUACUGAGACACGGACCCAGGUCCUAUGGGGCGCAGCAGGCGAGAAAACUUUGCAAUGUGCGAAAGCACGACAAGGUUAAUCCGAGUGUUUUCUGCUAAAGAAAUCUUUUGUCAGUCCUAAAAACACUGACGAAUAAGGGGUGGGCAAGUUCUGGUGUCAGCCGCCGCGGUAAAACCAGCACCUCAAGUGGUCAGGAGGAUUAUUGGGCCUAAAGCAUCCGUAGCCGGCUCUGUAAGUUUUCGGUUAAAUCUAUAUGCUCAACAUAUAGGCUGCCGGGAAUACUGCAGAGCUAGGGAGUGGGAGAGGUAGAUGGUACUCGGUAGGAAGGGGUAAAAUCCUUUGAUCUAUUGAUGACCACCUGUGGCGAAGGCGGUCUACUAGAACACGUUCGACGGUGAGGGAUGAAAGCUGGGGGAGCAAACCGGAUUAGAUACCCGGGUAGUCCCAGCUGUAAACUAUGCAAACUCAGUGA